CUCCUUUGACGUUAGCGGCGGACGGGUGAGUAACACGUGGGUAACCUACCUAUAAGACUGGGAUAACUUCGGGAAACCGGAGCUAAUACCGGAUAAUAUUUCGAACCGCAUGGUUCGAUAGUGAAAGGUGGUUUUGCUAUCACUUAUAGAUGGACCCGCGCCGUAUUAGCUAGUUGGUAAGGUAACGGCUUACCAAGGCGACGAUACGUAGCCGACCUGAGAGGGUGAUCGGCCACACUGGAACUGAGACACGGUCCAGACUCCUACGGGAGGCAGCAGCU
rnacentral:rRNA from 1 species